rnacentral:rRNA from 1 species
CCUAACACAUGCAAGUCGAACGGUAACAGGAAACAGCUUGCUGUUUCGCUGACGAGUGGCGGACGGGUGAGUAAUGUCUGGGAAACUGCCUGAUGGAGGGGGAUAACUACUGGAAACGGUAGCUAAUACCGCAUAACGUCGCAAGACCAAAGAGGGGGACCCUCGGGCCUCUUGCCAUCGGAUGUGCCCAGAUGGGAUUAGCUUGUUGGUGGGGUAACGGCUCACCAAGGCGACGAUCCCUAGCUGGUCUGAGAGGAUGACCAGCCACACUGGAACUGAGACACGGUCCAGACUCCUACGGGAGGCAGCAGUGGGGAAUAUUGCACAAUGGGCGCAAGCCUGAUGCAGCCAUGCCGCGUGUAUGAAGAAGGCCUUCGGGUUGUAAAGUACUUUCAGCGGGGAGGAAGGGAGUAAAGUUAAUACCUUUGCUCAUUGACGUUACCCGCAGAAGAAGCACCGGCUAACUCCGUGCCAGCAGCCGCGGUAAUACGGAGGGUGCAAGCGUUAAUCGGAAUUACUGGGCGUAAAGCGCACGCAGGCGGUUUGUUAAGUCAGAUGUGAAAUCCCCGGGCUCAACCUGGGAACUGCAUCUGAUACUGGCAAGCUUGAGUCUCGUAGAGGGGGGUAGAAUUCCAGGUGUAGCGGUGAGAUGCGUAGAGAUCUGGAGGAAUACCGGUGGCGAAGGCGGCCCCCUGGACGAAGACUGACGCUC